CACGUUGAGGUAGUUGGUUGUAUAGUAGUGACUGAUUAAAUAUCUGCUAUGCAAUCUGCUAGCUUGUCGUG
rnacentral:pre_miRNA from 1 species